rnacentral:ncRNA from 2 species
AUUAUAGUAUGGCAUCUGGGUACCCAUGCGGGUUUAAUAGGGAAGACGGAAGAGCCGUCGCGGUCCCGCCGCUGUAACCGGGGACGAACCCUGCUAAGGCCACUGUUUCCUUUGAGGGAAAUGGGAAGGUGUAGGUAUUAGGACGAUCCGGAAGCCAGAAGACCUGCCCGGAUGAAUCUGGGUGG